AGGAUUAACGCUGGCGGCGUGCAUGAAACAUGCAAGUCGAGCGCGGUGUGAUGCGGGGUAACCCAAUUCACAUCUAGCGGCGAACGGGUGAGUAACACGUGAGCAACCUACCUUUGAGUUGGGGAUAGCCCUGGGAAACCAGGAUUAAUACCCGAUGUGGUCACAACAGGACAUCCUGAUGUGAGUAAAGGCGUAAGCCGCUCAAUGACGGGCUCGCGGCCUAUUAGCUUGUUGGUGGGGUAACGGCCUACCAAGGCGAUGAUGGGUAGCUGGUCUGAGAGGACGAUCAGCCACACUGGGACUGAGACACGGCCCAGACUCCUACGGGAGGCAGCAGUUAGGAAUUUUCCGCAAUGGGCGAAAGCCUGACGGAGCAACGCCGCGUGAGUGAUGAAGACCUUCGGGUUGUAAAGCUCUGUCGGAGGGAAGACACAAUGACGGUACCUCCAAGAAAGCCCGGCUAACUACGUGCCAGCAGCCGC
rnacentral:rRNA from 1 species